rnacentral:misc_RNA from 1 species
UGCAUUCAUCAAUAAAUGUUAUAAAAUAUCGAGCUCAAAAAAGAGAAGGGAUUCUAGUAGGACCCCAAAUAUCAAAGUGAAUGAUAAUAAAGGGUUGAGAACAUUUAUUCAAUCUAGGCAAAUAUGGCACUCUAUGACUUUUUGCAAGUUCACAAACAUCACAACGAAAUUCAAAAAUAUUCAAUCCAUGAAACAAAUGAGGUUUUAAUUUUUUAAGAUAUUCAAAAGAUAAAUGUCCCAAUCUUCG